CCCAGACUCCUACGGGAGGCAGCAGUGGGGGAUAUUGCACAAUGGGGGGAACCCUGAUGCAGCGACGCUGCGUGGGUGAAGGAGCGUUUCGGCGCGUAAAGCCCUAUCGGCAGGGAAGAAGGAGGACGGUACCUGACUAAGAAGCCCCGGCUAACUACGUGCCAGCAGCCGCGGUAAUACGUAGGGGGCAAGCGUUAUCCGGAUUUACUGGGUGUAAAGGGGGCGCAGACGGCAGCGCAAGCCAGGAGUGAAAGCCCGGGGCCCAACCCCGGGACUGCUCUUGGAACUGCGCGGCUGGAGUGCAGGAGGGGCAGGCGGAAUUCCUGGUGUAGCGGUGAAAUGCGUAGAUAUCAGGAGGAACACCGGUGGCGAAGGCGGCCUGCUGGACUGCAACUGACGUUGAGGCCCGAAAGCGUGGGGAGCAAACAGGAUUAGAUACCCCAGUA
rnacentral:rRNA from 1 species